CCUACGGGAGGCUGCAGUAGGGAAUCUUGCACAAUGCGCGAAAGCCUGAUGCAGCAACGCCGCGUGGGUGAAGAAGGCCUUCGGAUCGUAAAACCCUGUCGUUAGAGAAGAAAGUGCGUGAGAGUAACUGUUUAUGUUUCGACGGUACCUAACUAGAAAGCCACGGCUAACUCCGUGCCAGCAGCCGCGGUAAUACGGAGGUGGCAAGCGUUAUCCGGAUUGAUUGGGCGUAAAGGGAACGUAGGCGGUCUUGUAAGUCAGAUGUCAAAGCCUAGGGCUCAACUUGAGUAGUGCAUGGGAUACUAUGAGACUUGAGUGCAGGAGAGGAGAGUAGAACUCCAUGUGUAGCGGUGAAAUGCGUAGAUAUAUGGAAGAACACCAGUAGCGAAGGCGGCUAUCUGGUCUGAAACUGACGCUGAGGUGCGAAAGCGUGGGUAGCAAACAGGAUUAGAUACCCGGGUAGUC
rnacentral:rRNA from 1 species